GUGAGGAAUUUUCCGCAAUGGGCGAAAGCCUGACGGAGCAAUGCCGCGUGAAGGAUGAAGGCCUAUGGGUUGUAAACUUCUUUUCUCAGAAAAGAAUUAUGACGGUAUCUGAGGAAUAAGCAUCGGCUAACUCUGUGCCAGCAGCCGCGGUAAGACAGAGGAUGCAAGCGUUAUCCGGAAUGAUUGGGCGUAAAGCGUCUGUAGGUUGUUUAAAAAGUAUUCUGUCAAAGAUUAGGGCUUAACCCUAGAUAGACAGAAUAAACUUUUAAGCUAGAGUUUGGUAGAGGCAGAGGGAAUUCCCGGUGGAGCGGUGAAAUGCGUAGAUAUCGGGAGGAACACCAAAGGCGAAGGCACUCUGCUGGGCCAAUACUAACACUGAGAGACGAAAGCGAGGGGAGCAAAUGGGAUUAGAAACCCGAGUAGUCC
rnacentral:rRNA from 1 species